rnacentral:rRNA from 1 species
CGAGAUAAGUUGGGUGGUCAAAAGGGAAAGAGCCCAGACCUCCGGCUAAGGUCCCAAAGUGCGUGUUAAGUGGAAAAGGAUGUGGGAUUUCAAAGACAACCAGGAUGUUGGCUCAGAAGCAGCCAUCCAUUCAAAGAGUGCGUAAUAGCUCACUGGUCGAGAGGUCCUGCGCCGAAAAUGUCCGGGGCUGAAACACGACACCGAAGCCGAGGGAUCCGAAAGGAUCGGUAGAGGAGCAUUGCAUAAGGGAAGAAGCAGUACCGGAAGGAGCUGUGGACUUUAUGGAAGAGAGAAUGCCGGAAUGAGUAGCGAGAGAGAGGUGGGAAUCCUCUCGGCCGAAUAUCCAAGGUUUCCAGAGUAAAGCUGAUCUGC